GUUAUUAAUCCAUCACAAGCUAACAACUCUGAUUCUGAAGUAACAUUACUAUCAACAUAAGCAAAGAAUUCAUAGUGAAGCCAAAACAAAGCAUUUUAAAAAUGAGAGCGAUGCACAAUACCAAAAAUAUUUUUACAGUUCCGAUAAUAUCACAGAGAAGACUUUUAACAGAUCCAGCAAACCCGAGUCAGAACUCCAAAAUCACACAAAAAAUUUCAGAAAACUUUCAAAAGGAUGAAAGAUUGUGGCCUCGACUGAUUGAAAGUGUGAAGGGAAAGUUAAGCCUGUAGGGGGCAAAGAUUCUCAAAGUGAAAAGAAUAAAGAAUGCUUUUGAGAAAAAUUUCAGUGUUAGGCCCGAAGAAAAACUUGUAAAGGCAGCUCACUGUAAUUUAUAAACAACAGAAGGUCCUAUGGCAGGAGUUCUCUUCAUUUUCCACAGAUAGGGCUGCUUUUUUCAGUCACAAACCAAUUAAGAUUUCUUCUUCCAGCGGCGAGAUUAUUAAAUUCCACUACAAGGUAGGAUUUACAGCAUACUGCUCCUAUUUCUGUAUAUCUAAAGCAAUUGUCUUAAGAUAACUAUUUUUUUUUUUCAACUGGUACUGAUAUCGAUUCCACUGAGAAAAAUGAAGAAAGCCAUGGAGAGUAAGAUUUUGAAGAAACCAUUGCACAAGUACAUUCAAGUAGUAACAAAGGAUAAUUUUUAUUUCUGGUUCUUAGGAUUCUUGAAUCACAAGAGUAUCUUGAAAUGUCUUCAGGAGGCGAUUUAUGAGACUCAAGGCCACUAUACUCUCUGAUAAAGCUGGGAAUUUUGCUAUACACAUUGGUUUCAUAUAUACAAAUCAUAGUUGAUUCUGAAUGUGAUACACCUGCUCUCACUAUAGAUGGACAAGCUUGUACAUUAAUUUUUUGUUGUUACUAUAGAUGGACAAGCUUGUACAUUAAUUUUUUGUUGUUAGACUAUAGUACAUAUCUGCAUGUACUUUCUAGAUGAGCUUAGUCAUAGUCUAAGUUCUUUUGCUUGUCAAGCAAGAACCAGUGUAUUCAGAUUUUGUUCAUAGAUACAGGCACACUCCAGGCCUUUCGGCUAAAA